CAGAUUACGAGUCCACCGCUCUUAACCACUACACCACACUGGCUCUGAGAGCUCCUGCACCCAGGUCAUUAUGAUGUCGGGUGAUUGGCACGUGGGUGGUUCCGCCCACCGGCCUCAGGUGGCCCGUGAGUUGUAUAAUCUGGUGAGAAAGGUUGCCCACUCCUGGGCUGGAACAAGGGUGGCCAACAUGGUUCCCUCCAGAUGUUAUUGGACUACAAGCUCCCCAUCCAAAGGAAUACACAUGCCAGAUAAUUAACUUCUUGUCAAAGCUGAUAGUUGUUUCUAUGGGUCCAAAUACACCCCCCCCAAUCUAACUUCUAGACAGCUAUUCCCAGAUCCGUGAUCUGCGGAGCAGUUGCAGCAAUGGGGUCCACUCCCCCUCCAAUAGCUUAAGUAGCUCCCCCUGAUGGGCUGCAAGACAUGCAGCCAGAGACGGUGCCUACAUGGAAACUUCCUCUGCUCCUCCCCUUUUCAACCCGCUCCUGGUUCUGGGAGACAGUGGUGCAGGAGAGGCUGGGGAAGUGCCCGGCCCUUCACUUGCCUAACCUGCCUCUUCCUCCUCGCCUUCCAACCCAUAUUGAGCUCCACUCUCCAGCUCAGAAGCUUCCUCUGCCUCAGACUCUUGUCUUCCCCACAAAUCACUGCCCCCCACUCCUGAGUCAGACUCCAGGCCGCUUCCCCCUGGCCAUCAAUGUCCUGCCAGUCCCCGACACCUGAUCACUGGCAAUGCUGGCAGAAGCUGAUGGGAGUUGGGAGUCCCAACAGAAUCUGGAGGGCCACAGGGUCCCCAGCUGUGGUUUAAACCAUACUCUGCUUGGGACCUGCCAAGGAGGAAGCUGAAGGGAGAGUGCUCCUUCGUUGCAGCUCUUCAAACAGAGGGUGGGUAAGAGGUGCUCUAGCCCUGGGGCUCCUGCACAGAGCAGAGGAGCUGGACCCAAGGGUGCCAACUGGAAUAAAAUAUUGUGGGGGCCCAGGUAAGCCCUGCCCCACAUAAUCAAUCACAUAAUGCAGUGCAACCACACCAUUUGAAUGGCAGUGCCCAUCAACUUUGGGGGGCUCCAGCCCCCUCAAAUAUUUUAUUGUGGGGGCCAAAGCCCCCAUGGCUCUUAUGGUUGGACCAGAUAGCCUACGAGGCUGUCUUCCACUCUUGUGAGUCUAGGCAGCGCUAAGUAGAAUUAUGGAGAAUGCACUUUGAACAUAAGGUGCAACAAAGCAGAAUACAGUAUGACUGCAUCUGAUGAACAAUUAAUCCGUGUGAUUUCAACCUUGCGUGGUUGAAAGUCGAUUCAUUGAAACUGUCAAAUUACAUGCCCGCAAGGCAGAGAGCUUAAAGGCUCUUUUUGCACUACAUUUUCCCAGCCUUCCAGAGCUUCUAAGCCAGCCUUUCUCAACCAGUGGGUCCCCAGAUGUUGUUGAACUACAACUCCCAUCACCCCUAGCUAGCAAGGCCAGAGCUCAGGGAUGAUGGGAGUUGUAGUCCAACAACAUCUGGGGACCCACAGGUUGAGAACCACUGUUAAGUCCCACUCCACACGUGGGCUCUGGGAUGCUCUUGUGAGAAUGCCCUGCAAAAUCUUCUGAGAACAUCCUGGAAGCCUCACACUAAGCAGGACUUGCCCAGUUAAGCAAGGCGGACAGUUUAAAACUUCUCCACAUUACUUUGGGGGUGGGUAAGGCCCCCUUGGCACAGAGGAUGGUUCUAAGGGGGUGGUUGGGUAUAUGCAUUUUUGUGUGUAUGCCCCAUCCCCAGAAGGUAACCCCCCACACGAGAUGCAAUGGUGUUGUUGUUGUUUAGUCGUUUAGUUGUGUCCGACUCUUCGUGACCCCCUGGACCAGAGCACACCAGGCACUCCUGUCUUCCACUGCCUCCCGCAGUUUGGUCAAACUCAUGCUGGUAGCUUCGAGAACACUGUCCCGCCAUCUCGUCCUCUGUCAUUCCCUUCUCCCUUGUGCCCUCCAUCUUUCCCAACAUCAGGGUCUUUUCCAGGGAGUCUUCUCUUCUCAUGAGGUGGCCAAAGUCUUGGAACCUCAGCUUCAGGAUCUGUCCUUCCAGUGAGCACUCAGGGCUGAUUUCCUUCAGAAUGGAUAGGUUUGAUCUUCUUGCAGUCCAUGGGACUCUCAAGAGUCUCCUCCAGCACCAGAAUUCAAAAGCAUCAGUUCUUUGGCGAUCAGCCUUCUUUAUGGUCCAGCUCUCACUUCCAUACAUCACUACUGGGAAAACCAUAGCUUUAACUAUACGGACCUUUGUUGGCAAGGUGAUGUCUCUGCUUUUUAAGAUGCUGAUGCAGUGGUACUGUAUAAUAAAUCCUCACCAAUAAUACUGAUGGGAGAUGAGAACAUGCAUGCAACAGAAGAAGAAGAAGAAGAGUUUGGAUGUGACUAGCCCAAGGUCACCCAGCAG
rnacentral:lncRNA from 1 species